GAUUGGAUAAAGAGGAAAAACAUGGCAAAGAUGGCAUAUUCAGAUGUUUCUACGACUUUUCCGUAAAGAUUAGCUUCCUACACCCCAGAGACGAAUGCAACAACGUUUACAUCGGAAACAAUUAUCCCAACGCCUACUUUCAUGUGCAACAUUCUUACAGUCAAUUCAACUAGUGCUACUUCUUCUGUUAUACCAAACAUUAUACAUUCAGCCGACACAAACAAUUAACAAUGCUUUAUCAAUUCAGCUAAAAGUUUGCCGUAUGAUGCGACAGAAAAAAACAAGAAAUAUAUUACUAUUUAAGUAAAAUAUCAGAGCUGGGGAAUAUGACAGUAUGUGCAGUGUAACAAUUGAAUCACAAAACGUAUCCGGGUAUAUUGAAUUUAACAACAACCUUACCAACAGAGUACUAAAAUUAAAACAUUAGGAGUGUCGAAUGAUGCAAUUUGACCAAUAAUUCAGAAGAAAUAUUGCAAUGAAAAGUGUACCAUUCAUUCAUAAUAUUUCCAGAAUUUGAUGACAUGUAUUCAUACUAUUAGAGCAAGUGCUAGAAGAAAUGACAGAUAUUGUAAGAUGAUCAAUUAGGAUUAAAAACACCAGAACAUGUCAGCUCUUGUGAAAUCUGUUUAUGCUGCUUUCAUAAUUUUGUCAAUUUUACUGUCAUAUAUGAAGGGCAUUAAUUAGCUUUACUAUGUAUAUUACCCACUAUUUUUUCUGUCUGACCUUUUACUGAUAACUUUUGAUUUUGUUCGUUUUCAUGAACUUCCCC
rnacentral:lncRNA from 1 species